AUGGAAAUGGCGGCAGCUCCGGCGAUAGACCAGGAUGCCCACACACAGCACGAGGAUCACGCACAGCAGCAAAGCCCCCACCAGUCCUGCGUACACCACUACACCAGCACCGGGGCCAAGAGCUGAGACAAAUACAGGCGUCCUCUGGCUCGCUCUGGAAUUCCGGCAAUGGUUCAGCCGGAGCAGACGGAAACGAAUCCGGGAGAACUUCGCUGUAAUCGCUGCCAUCUACAAAACCAAAGAGAGAGCGUGAAUUUAAACAGAGCCAAGAUGAAGGAAGGGGAGCUUGACCUUCCAUUGAAACACCCAGUGAUCACGCAUUAUCCCUUGACAUUUUCCCAGUGACAGAUCCCUCCCAGCACCACAGCACAGAGCUCAUCCAGGGGCCAGC